rnacentral:lncRNA from 1 species
GUCAGCGUCCACAGGAUGUGGAAGGCGGCCGCCUGCGAGGAUCACAUCCUGCUGCCAAAGAUCAUUCCUCAGUACUUCGCUGGCGCAGAGCUCGUCGGCGAUGGCGAAGCUGGCAGCACAAAGACCUUCCACUUCACUCCAGGUUUAGAUUUUGAUGCUGCUUUCCGACAUUCGUGUGCGUGCGAGAAGAGAUCGCAAAACAAGGAUAAAAAAUAAUCUCACAUCGAUAAAAAGAAUCGGAUGAUACAUAUCGAAACCUUUUUGGUUGAAUUGAUGUAUGAUCUGUUAAUUGGAACUAAUUUGGCUAUUGUUGCGAUCCAUCGAACUGCAGCCGCAGAGCCACUGACCUUCGUGAAGGACCAUGUUGAGGUGUUGGACCACGGAAGCCACACGAUGAGGUACAAGGCGAUCGAAGGAGGUCACCUCGGCCGCACGCUCAAGUCGCACGCGUUCGAGGUCAAGUUCGAAGCGGCGGGCGCCGACAGCUGUGUCGUGAAGACCAAGACAGAAUACGAUACGAUCGACGACGCGCCGCUGCCGGAGGACGAGGUGCAGAAGAUGACGGACGUGCCAGUACGGAUGAUGAAGUCGGUGGAAGCCUAUCUGAUAGCCAACCCCGGUGUUUGUGCCUGAGCCCCUGAGCCUCUGAGCCGGUGGGCUUUCGUGUACCGACGUUGGUGCUUCCAGUGUCGUAGUGCUUGUCAUUGGGCGUGGAUCAAUCAAUAAUGAGGUGAUGCAGCAGUGCUGGAAUCAUCACCUUUAGAGUGAGAGAGUGAGAGAGUGAGAGAGAGAUAGGACAUGACAUGUUGAUGCCAU